CUAGAAGCUGAGACAAGGAAGAAAAAACGAGUAAGUGCUAAUUUGAAUCUUAAGGAUGACUUAAUAUUUAUAUUAUUCAGAAAUGUUACGACCCAGUUUUUACACUUCCGAUAUUAAUUCGAGCAAGUAACCGUGACGAUUCGUUCACGCUGAACGGGAAUAACGCUGCGAAUUUUAUACCGCAUAGGAAACGUCACGGGUUAUGUUUUAUGUAUGGGCUCUGUGACCUGUAAAUCUCAACUUUGCAAUAUGGCUUGUUCGAAACAUACUUAUACGGCGCAUAAUCCUAUCAGCUCCCCACUACGUGACUCGCAUAUUAUUGGAACUGUGAUACCAUGUCAAAUCAGUCUUUAGAAUAGAACGGAGUGUAGGAAUCGUUAUCGCCGAUUAAAAACUACCGAUGUACAAUUUGGUACUGUAUUUUAGACUAGAAAAAAGGGCGAAAAAUAUCAAAAAGAAAAUGUAUAUUAUACGAAAGUUCAGUUAUAAAUUUAAUAUCGUUAUAGAUUUUCAUAAAAAUGAAAAACAUUUCACUCGUAAAAAAGCACAGAAAACGAACAUUUCAUUCUCUUGAAAUAUUCAACGCACACGUCUAUGGUACUUGGUGGUUGCACAAUCUGAAAAUCGUUCUCUUCAAACAGACAGGAGUGGGCAGGAAGUUUUCACUGCGGUUGACAGUAGUAUAUCGCCCAUAAUGCGUAUACUGCGGGCAUAGCUGGCUUGGUCGCCGGACACCAGGGACAAUCUAGUCGCUUCCUACGAAGAGCGGUGGCCAUCUGCAAAAGUGCUGCUCUGUGAUGUCGCGAAUUCAAGUCUCCAAGCUGAAGACUUCUUGAAAGAUCAUACGCUUUCCCAGCAUAUAUGGCACUUUUAUCGGCGUCCUGCAGACG